rnacentral:rRNA from 1 species
GAUGAACGCUAGCGGCAGGCUUAACACAUGCAAGUCGAGGGGUAACAGUAGAAGCUUGCUUUUAGCUGACGACCGGCGAACGGGUGCGUAACGCGUAUAGUACCUACCAUGAACUGGAGGAUACCCUUUGGAAACGAAGACUAAUACUCCAUGGUGAUUUAGAGAAGCAUUUCUUUAAGUUUAAAGAUUUAUUGGUUCAUGAUGGCUAUGCGUCCUAUUAGCUAGAUGGUAAGGUAACGGCUUACCAUGGCAACGAUAGGUAGGGGGUCUGAGAGGAUUAUCCCCCACACUGGUACUGAGACACGGACCAGACUCCUACGGGAGGCAGCAGUGAGGAAUAUUGGUCAAUGGAGGCAACUCUGAACCAGCCAUGCCGCGUGAAGGAUGACUGCCCUAUGGGUUGUAAACUUCUUUUAUAGAGGAAGAACUACAGAUACGAGUAUUUGUUUGACGGUACUCUACGAAUAAGGACCGGCUAACUCCG